CAGAUGACGUCAUAUACUGUGUGCAAAGUAAUGUUUAAGGGUGACCCCAGUGAUUUGGCCUUCUACUUCUUCCUCUUCUGGUGGUGAAGUUGAGCAUAUGAACAAUUCUGGUGGAUCUGAGGUGGGAUUAGAGAAUCCACGUCACUUUACUGGUUUGCUCGAUGCGGAGAAAGAAACUCAGAUCGGUGAUGCUAUUCGCAGGGCCAUAUUCGACAAUGUUUCAACUCAUGAUUUGAACGCUUUGCUCAAUUUUCAAAAUGAUGAUGAUGAGCUUGUUAAUCGUUUGUUUAUGCAAGAGGAUCGCAAUGAUUACAGACCUAAAAUGUCAUUGACGGUUUCAUUAGCGAUGAUGAUGAUGAUGAUGAUGAUAGUGAUUCUGAUUUGAUAUCUGCUACAACAACAACAGUGAGCUUAGUUUUACUAUGUUAAUCCUCUGUUUUCAGGUUGUGCCUUCAAAAGACAAACGUUUUGACUGUGAUAGGGUUCCAUCCAAACUUCGAGCAGUACUUAUGAUAGUUUUGGUAGCUCAAAUCGUCGUAUAGACCAAAUCACAGACCUAAAAAACUCUCCCAGCUCAACAACUAAGCUAAUGUCACCAACUCAAGUGGUGAGCAAACCUCUAGAAACCAGUCUUGAUACAUCCAAGGAGACCAAGAAUCAUUAUGAAGAUGUACAAGGGACUGAGAUGGCAAAGUGUGAAAUGGAUGAGAAGGUCAUCAACAACAAAAGAGCUGGUUUCUUUUACAGGAAAAUUCAAACCUGCAUCAAGAAAAUUCUGCUAUGCUCUUCUAUCCCCCUAAGAACAUGAUAAUUAGUUAAUAAAUGAGAUCAAUAAGUACUUUUAGUAUUUUCCAAAUCUGCAAAAGUUCUAUGUUAUGUCUUAUCUUGUUUUGUGACUUUUUGGUAUUGUGUGUCCUAAUGUAUAUAAAUAAAGGCCAGUUUGUGAU